GCCCGCGUGGCGCAAUUGGAUAGCGCGUGGCUUUCCUAAGGCCAAGGUUGUGGGUUCGAUCCCCAUCGUGGGUG
rnacentral:tRNA from 1 species